CGGUGAUCUGUCUAAUGUGAUGUUUCAGGCCAGAUAUUUUUUCCAACAGUUGAUCUCAGGAGUUAGCUAUUGUCAUUCCAUGCAAAUAUGCCAUCGAGAUUUGAAGUUAGAGAAUACCUUGUUGGAUGGGAGCCCUGCUCCUCGUCUGGAAAUCUGUAAUUUUGGUUACUCAAAGUUAUCUCUGCUGCAUUCAAGACCCAAGUCAACGGUUGGUACUCCAGCUUAUAUUGCACCCA